GGGGAGAAUCUGUUCACUUGCCUUUCCCAGCUUCUAGAGGUUGCCUACAUUCCUUGGCUUGCGGACCCUUCCUCCAUCUCCAGAAUCAGUAACGAAAGAUCCAAAGCCAUAUCCUGGCUGAGUUGGCUGAGUUGAGCAGGACACUGACAAGGAGGCUGCUGAGCCUGCAACUCGACUGUUCUGUUUGAGGAGCUCUGUGCUUUAUCAUAGAAAUGGAUCUGAGGUGGGGUGUUGCUUUGUCUUGUGAUCGCAGCUCACGGCAGCCUUGGACUCGUGGGCACGAGCAAUCCUCCCACUUCAGCCUCCCAAGUAGCUGGGACCACAGG
rnacentral:lncRNA from 1 species